rnacentral:rRNA from 1 species
GAAUUUUGGGCAAUGGGCGAAAGCCUGACCCAGCAACGCCGCGUGAAGGAUGAAAUCCCUCGGGAUGUAAACUUCGCAAGAACGGGAAGAAUAAACCGGUGUUAACAUCACCGGCGAUGACGGUACUGUUUGUAAGCUCCGGCUAACUCCGUGCCAGCAGCCGCGGUAAUACGGGGGGAGCAAGCGUUGUUCGGAUUUACUGGGCGUAAAGGGCGCGUAGGCGGCCACCGCAAGUCGACUGUGAAAUCUCCGGGCUUAACCCGGAAAGGUCAGCCGAUACUGCGGGGCUAGAGUGCAGAAGGGGCAACUGGAAUUCUCGGUGUAGCGGUGAAAUGCGUAGAUAUCGAGAGGAACACCUGAGGCGAAGGCGGGUUGCUGGGCUGACACUGACGCUGAAGCGCGAAAGCGUGGGGAGCAAACGGG